rnacentral:rRNA from 1 species
AUGUCAGCGGUUCGAGUCCGCUUAUCUCCAGCCCGUGAACUUAGCGGAUACUAUGAUAGCGAUAGCACCGAAUUUUGCCAAUUCGGCAGUUCGAUCUAUGAUUUCACAUUCAUGGACGUUGAUAAGAUCCUUCCAUUUAGUAGCACCUUAGGAUGGCAUAGCCUUAACGUUAAUGGCGAGGUUCAAAAGAGGAAAGGCUUGCGGUGGAUACCUAGGCACCCAGAGACGAGGAAGGGCGUAGCAAGCGACGAAAUGCUUCGGGUGUACCCAGAGCAGAAGAUCGUAUGCGAGCAAUUCAAGAGGAAUUGGCGGCAUUCUUCCUUGACCACGUGA